rnacentral:rRNA from 1 species
CAGCCGCCACGGGAAUACGUAGGGUGCAAGCGUUAAUCGGAAUUACUGGGCGUAAAGCGUGCGCAGGCGGUUAUAUAAGUCAGAUGUGAAAUCCCCGGGCUCAACCUGGGAACUGCAUUUGAGACUGUAUGGCUAGAGUGUGCCAGAGGGGGGUAGAAUUCCACGUGUAGCAGUGAAAUGCGUAGAUAUGUGGAGGAAUACCGAUGGCGAAGGCAGCCCCCUGGGAUAACACUGACGCUCAUGCACGAAAGCGUGGGGAGCAAACAGGAUUAGAUACCCCUGUAGUCCCUGUCUCUUAUAA